GCAAUUUUAGUUGCAAAAGCCAGUUUUCACUUGAUAAAGAAGACAUGGUACUAUCUUCUCCGAAUCAAAAUUUUCUUCCAACAGUCAAUUUUCACUCCGUAGAGAACCAACGACUUUUCGAAGUUCAUCCAUAUAAAUAAAAAUAAAAUAAAUACGUGCUAGUUUGUGAAAGGUUGGCUAAAACAUUCAAGUAGACUCCUUGGUACUACGUAGGAAGACAAGAAACAAGAAACAAGAAAUCAUGGACAACUCUUGCCCCUCUUCCUUCCUCCCACGUAGUACUACUAACUGCUAAUUCACCCCACUCCAUUACGAACAGAAGAUUUUACUAUCAUCUUACAAAACCCCAAAACCUGGAGCCGGUGGUCCGCUAACUGCUGCUGCUGCUGCUAGUUUUGUCCACUUCUCUCUGCACAUAUACACAAGAUUCAAGUAAGAUCAAGACAUAUAGCUAAUAGCCUCCAUGCCCCCACCCCUGGUUUGUAGGCCCCAUGCAUGCAUCCGCCAAACCCUUCAUCUUCCCUCUCCUCCUUUCUAGCUCACAUCAAAAUCAAAUUAAGUACUCCCAAGAUUUUUUUUAUUUUUGUCCUACUACCCUCUCAUACUAAAAACUCAAGAAAGAAUCUUUCACUGAAAUUCAUAAACCCACCCCCCCCCCCCUUAUCCCAUCCUCUCCAUCCUUAUCUUUCACUUGUCACUCUUUUCCGAAAAAUCCCAUCUUCCAUUUCACCAGGUACUUCACAAAAACCAUAAGAAAAACAAGGAGGACUGUUUUUUUUUCGUUUAUCACAACAUGAAGAAUACUAGUCCAGAUAUUACUCGGAACGGAAGAAGACUACUGCAGCAGCAAGUUCCUGCAGUAGCAUCAGGAGGUUUACAUGGCUCUGAUUUAUCACCAGACCCCAUUUUCGAACCCAUAAACGCCUCUCCUUCAGAUGCAACAAGUGUUAAAAGAAAUCCCAGGCACCCCACUACACCGUUCGACUCAUCAAUGGCCUUAACAAUCUUAGUCCU
rnacentral:lncRNA from 1 species